GUGAACUUUAAAUUUUUUCAUCAAAGACAAGAAUGUCACAACAGGGUGUUUCCUUUAUUUCAUGGACUGCAUCUUAUUUAAAAAAACCAUUCGUAUAUGUAUGUGAUUGACUUCUGUCAAGGAAUCAGGUUCCUAAACCAGUGAUCAGAAAUAGCUGCCAAUUUGAAGUUGAUUGUGAAUCUCAAAGGACUGUUUGUUUCUAGCAGGAUGGAACUUAAAGGAAUCGUAUUAAGUGAGAUAAGCCAGAGGGAGAAAGACAAAGAAGAGAUUGUCUCACCUCUAAGGGAUUGUUAUGAAGCAAGGU